UACAGAGGGUGCGAGCGUUGUCCGGAAUCACUGGGCGUAAAGGGCGCGUAGGUGGCAGGGUAAGCGUGCGGUGAAAGCCCGGAGCUCAACUCCGGGUCGGCCGUGCGAACUGCUUUGCUCGAGCACUGUAGAGGCAGGUGGAAUUCCCGGUGUAGCGGUGGAAUGCGUAGAUAUCGGAGAACACCGUGGCGGAAGGCGGCC
rnacentral:rRNA from 1 species